ACGCUGGCGGCAUGCCUUACACAUGCAAGUCGAACGGUAACAGGUCUUCGGAUGCUGACGAGUGGCGAACGGGUGAGUAAUACAUCGGAACGUGCCCGAGAGUGGGGGAUAACGAAGCGAAAGCUUUGCUAAUACCGCAUACGAUCUCAGGAUGAAAGCAGGGGACCGCAAGGCCUUGCGCUCACGGAGCGGCCGAUGGCAGAUUAGGUAGUUGGUGGGAUAAAAGCUUACCAAGCCGACGAUCUGUAGCUGGUCUGAGAGGACGACCAGCCACACUGGGACUGAGACACGGCCCAGACUCCUACGGGAGGCAGCAGAAGGGCGAAUUC
rnacentral:rRNA from 1 species